rnacentral:ncRNA from 2 species
CUCUUAUCGAGAGAGGUGGAGGGACUGGCCCGAUGAAACCCGGCAACCGGUAGUAACGUCGUUUAGUUACUAUAGCGGUGCCAAAUCCUGCAGUAAAAGUAUACAAACACUUUUACUGAAAGAUGAGAA